UACGAAGGGUGCGAGCGUUGUUCGGAAUUACUGGGCGUAAAGCGCGCGUAGGCGGAUUCGUAUGUCGGAUGUGAAAGCCCCAGGCUUAACCUGGGAAUUGCAUCCGAAACUGCGAACCUUGAAUGCUUGAGAGGAUGACGGAAUUCCUGGUGUAGAAGUGAAAUGCGUAGAUAUCCGGAGGAACACCGGUGGCGAAGGCGGCUUCCUGGACCGACACUGACGCUGAGGCGCGAAAGCUAGGGGAGCAAACGGG
rnacentral:rRNA from 1 species